rnacentral:lncRNA from 1 species
UCCUUCACCUGUUGCCUGGCUAGAGUUGUCUGGCUCCACUUUGAGCUCUUGCAGAACCAGCCCUUUUUCGUGUGGUCCAGGAAAGUCCAUGCCUGGCACCACCUCCUCCUCUAGGGACUCCACGUAGAAGAGAGUCCUGGCUGGCUGCUGAGUGCCCUGCCCAGGAGCCCCUUGCUGCAGCCUCGUGGCAACUGGAAGCAGGGUGCCAUUCAGUUCUUCCAGAAAGUGCUCACACCGCUUCUCUCUUGGCUUUUGAGCAGGCGACUCUGGCUGGGUCCCCAGUGCUCAAAGCUGCCACUGCCGUCCUGUUGCAGGCAGCCUCCCCCCGCCGGGCCGCCGGUGGAAGGUGACGGGUGGCUGAAGAGUUUCCAGCGGAGUCGCAGAAUGUGCUUCACAUCGAAGUCUUUUCGCCCAGAGCCUGACAUGCUUUACGCACAGAAGGCAAAAGGCUGGCAGCUCACGCAGGAGCAGGACCGGGGCGUGGGGACACCACCAGGCAGGAGCAGAGGCAGGACUGGGACGCCAAAAGCUGAGAAUCCUCGAUGCCCGCGCGAGAGCCCCGUGUUAUGGCGAGUAUGACAACCACCCCAUCAAUGACAAAAAUCCUAGAAGGAUGUAUGUAUAGUAAGUUGAAGUGUUGAGAAGAGAAUGGCUCAGAGUCAAGCGGGAACAAGGAUUCAAACUUCAGAGAGAGAGGGAAGAAAAACAUUUAAAUAUAUCUGGCAUAAUCCAAGACUAUUUACAACAAGUGUUCUGUGUUUCUAAUAAUAAAACAGACUUCACCUCAGAGUACCUGCAGAACUGGGACUCCAAUGACCAGGGAGAAUGAAGAACAACUUGUUGAAGGUAUAGAGAAGGCAGCAAAUCAUACAAGAGGGUCCGUCCCAAACCAGAGAUAGUAUAGAUAAACCUCUCAUGUUAACUAUGGAAAAAAUAAAGGAAGAUAACGUAUUUUAAUAGAAGGGAAAUUGCGCUUAUUGGGAGUAAGAACACUGAAUUGACUGAAUAUCUUAAAGAGAGUUAGGAAGUGAAAUUCUCAAUAGGUGAUUAUUCUUUGACCAAUUUUGUCUUAUCUGUUAUCCACAUUCUUCCCUACUCUUCCCAAUACAUGUGUAAGAAUAUCCAAGGGCACACACAUACCAUAAGCAGGAAUGGUGUCCUAAGGAAAGUCAAUAUAGAGAGUAAGAAGUAUAUCUGUCACAAUGUGUACAUGUAUUUUUCCAUAAGUCAGUUUUUUCCUCUCCAAGCUGUAAGCAGAAAUUCAUUUUUAGAUUGCAGAUAUGACCGUGACACGUAUCUGUCUCAGUUUAUAGAACAGGUCUCUAACAGGGCCAGUAGCUUCCAGUCACU